rnacentral:misc_RNA from 1 species
GGAAAUUCUGGAAUUAAUCCUGAAUUAGUCAUUUCCCACAAAUUCCCUGAGAGCUUACAUACUUACACUGAAAGGGAUGCUGCUAUUUAUGCUCUUGGUGUAGGAGCAUGUACAAAGGAUGCUAUUGAUGAUAAAGAACUUAAAUAUGUUUAUCAUCAAGAUGGGCAAGAAUUUAUUCAGGUUUUGCCAACUUUUUCGACUUUGUUCACUGUUGGAAUUCCUUCUCAAAUGGAGCGGCUUCCAGGCUUGCAAUUUGAUCCACGUCUUCUACUGCACGGCCAACAAUACAUUGAAGUCUAUAAGCCACUUCCUUCCCAUGGCUGCAUACUAAAUAAAAGGAGUAUUGUCGGAUUGCAUGAUAAAGGUAAAGCAGCUGUUCUUGAAGUAGAAAUUGUGAGUUACGAGAAAGAAUCUGGUGAACGGCUAUGCAUGAACCGCUUGUCUAUUUACUUGAGGGGUGCUGGUGGGUUCUCAAAGUCAUCUCAGCCUUACUCGUACUCAACCAACCGUAAUAAUCAGUCUGCCUUUCCUAAAAUUCCCAAAAGCCAACCCUUUGCUGUAUAUGAAGAAUGUACACAUGCAUCACAGGCUUUGCUAUAUCGGCUAUCUGGUGAUUACAAUCCAUUGCAUUCAGAUCCAAAGUUCGCAGAAGGUGCAGGGUUUUCUCGUCCAAUACUGCAUGGGUUGUGCACACUUGGAUUUGCAGUUAGGACUAUUAUUAAGUGUAUUUGUGGAGGUGAUCAGAACACGAUAAAGAGCGUAUCUGGCAGAUUUCUACUACAUGUCUAUCCAGGAGAAACUUUAAUCACAGAAAUGUGGUUGGAAGGGUUGAGAGUUAUCUAUCAAGUGAAGGUUAAGGAACGUAACCGUGCAGUUCUUUUUGGAUUCGUGGAUCUUAAUCAUUUAAGUUCAUCUCUGUGAGUGUUUGUGGCGCGCUCAUAAACGAAAUAAUGCUUUGUAUAAUACUCUUUUAAUUCAUACUUUAAGGUAAUUUAUAGACUCUGGAUCAUAUUAAGUUUCAUUUCUGAGUUCUCAUGGUACAUUACUAUGGAGAGAGAACUUCAUUAUGCAGUAAUCUAAACUACCAUUGUUUAAAUUUUAC